AGCGAACGCUGGCGGCAGGCCUAAAACAUGCAAGUCGAACGCCGUAGCAAUACGGAGUGGCAGACGGGUGAGUAACACGUGGGAACGUGCCCUUUGGUUCGGAACAACACAGGGAAACUUGUGCUAAUACCGGAUAAGCCCUUACGGGGAAAGAUUUAUCGCCAAAGGAUCGGCCCGCGUCUGAUUAGCUAGUUGGUGAGGUAACGGCUCACCAAGGCUACGAUCAGUAGCUGGUCUGAGAGGAUGAUCAGCCACACUGGGACUGAGACACGGCCCAGACUCCUACGGGAGGCAGCAGUUAGGAAUCUUGGACAAUGGGCGCAAGCCUGAUCCAGCCAUGCCGCGUGAGUGAUGAAGGCCUUAGGGUUGUAAAGCUCUUUCGUCCGGGACGAUAAUGACGGUACCGGAAGAAGAA
rnacentral:rRNA from 1 species